UGAGUGCGAGCUGCUACGGCAGCGAAGUAGGUGAUGUCAAGCUUCCAAGAAAAGCCCUAUACCCGUUAAGGCAUGACUGCCUGUACCCGAAACCGACACAGGUGGGGUGGUAGAGAAUACCGAGGGGCGCGAGGUAACUCUCUCUAAGGAACUCGGCAAAAUGGCCCCGUAACUUCGGGAGAAGGGGUGCCACCGCAAGGUGGUCGCAGUGAAGAGGCCCAGGCGACUGUUUACCAAAAACACAGGUCUCCGCUAAGUCGCAAGACGAUGUAUGGGGGCUGACGCCUGCCCAGUGCCGGAAGGUUAAGGAAGCUGGUCAGCGUAAGCGAAGCUGGCGACUGAAGCCCCGGUGAACGGCGGCCGUAACGAUAACGGUCCUAAGGUAGCGAAAUUCCUUGUCGGGUAAGUUCCGACCCGCACGAAAGGCGUAACGAUCUGGGCGCUGUCUCGGAGAGAGGCUCGGCGAAAUAGAAUUGUCUGUGAAGAUGCGGACUACGUGCACCCGGACAGAGAGACCCUAUGAAGCUUUACUGUAGCUUGGUAUUGUGCCCGGGCUCGCAAUGCGCAGGAUAGGUGGGAGGCUUUGAUCAUCGGCUUGCGGGUCGAUGUGAGCCACUGGUGAGAUACCACUCUUUGCGAGCUAGGGUUCUAACAGCCACCCGUGAUCCGGGGGCUGGACAGUAUCAGGUGGGCAGUUUGACUGGGGCGGUCGCCUCCUAAAAGGUAACGGAGGCGCGCAAAGGUUCCCUCAGGCUGGUUGGAAAUCAGCCGACGAGUGUAAAGGCAGAAGGGAGCUUGACUGUGAGACCUACAAGUCGAACAGGGACGAAAGACGGCCUUAGUGAUCCGACGGUUCUGAGUGGAAGGGCCGUCGCUCAACGGAUAAAAGUUACUCUAGGAUAACAGGCUGAUCUCCCCCAAGAGUUCACAUCGACGGGGAGGUUUGGCACCUCGAUGUCGGCUCAUCGCAACCUGGGGCUGAAGUCGGUCCCAAGGGUUGGGCUGUUCGCCCAUUAAAGCGGUACGCGAGCUGGGUUCAGGACGUCGUGAGACAGUUCGGUCCAUAUCCGGUGCAUGCGCAGGAAUAUUGAGAGGAGUUCUCCCUAGUACGAGAGGACCGGGAGGAACGCACCUCUGGUGUACCAGUUAUCGUGCCAACGGUAAACGCUGGGUAGCCAUGUGCGGAGAGGAUAACCGCUGAAAGCAUCUAAGUGGGAAGCCCACCUCAAGAUGAGUAUUCCCAUGGCAUAAGCCAGUAAGGUCACGGGAAGAACACCCGUUGAUAGGCUCUACGUGGAAGCGCAGUAAUGCGUGAAGCGGAGGAGUACUAAUAGACCGGGGCUUGAC
rnacentral:rRNA from 1 species